rnacentral:rRNA from 1 species
UAGCUAGUUGGUGAGGUAAAGGCUUACCAAGGCGACGAUCUGUAGCGGGUCUGAGAGGAUGAUCCGCCACACUGGAACUGAGACACGGUCCAGACUCCUACGGGAGGCAGCAGUGGGGAAUUUUGGACAAUGGGGGCAACCCUGAUCCAGCCAUGCCGCGUGAGUGAAGAAGGCCUUCGGGUUGUAAAGCUCUUUCGGCCGGGAAGAAAUCGCAUGGGCCAAUACCCUGUGUGGAUGACGGUACCGGAAUAAGAAGCACCGGCUAACUACGUGCCAGCAGCCGCGGUAAUACGUAGGGUGCGAGCGUUAAUCGGAAUUACUGGGCGUAAAGCGUGCGCAGGCGGUUUUGUAAGACAGGCGUGAAAUCCCCGGGCUUGACCUGGGAACUGCGUUUGUGACUGCAAGGCUAGAGUACGGCAGAGGGGGGUGGAAUUCCACGUGUAGCAGUGAAAUGCGUAGAGAUGUGGAGGAACACCAAUGGCGAAGGCAGCCCCCUGGGUCGAUACUGACGCUCAUGCACGAAAGCGUGGGUAGCAAACAGGAUUAGAUACCCUGGUAGUCCACGCCCUAAACUAUGUCAACUAGGUGUUGGGUGGGUAAAACCAUUUAGUACCGUAGCUAACGCGUGAAGUUGACCGCCUGGGGAGUACGGCCGCAAGGUUAAAACUCAAAGGAAUUGACGGGGACCCGCACAAGCGGUGGAUGAUGUGGAUUAAUUCGAUGCAACGCGAAAAACCUUACCUACCCUUGACAUGCCAGGAACUUGCCAGAGAUGGCUUGGUGCCCGAAAGGGAGCCUGGACACAGGUGCUGCAUGGCUGUCGUCAGCUCGUGUCGUGAGAUGUUGGGUUAAGUCCCGCAACGAGCGCAACCCUUGUCGUUAAUUGCCAUCAUUUGGUUGGGCACUUUAACGAGACUGCCGGUGACAAACCGGAGGAAGGUGGGGAUGACGUCAAGUCCUCAUGGCCCUUAUGGGUAGGGCUUCACGCGUCAUACAAUGGUCGGUACAAGGGGUUGCCAAGCCGCGAGGCGGAGCCAAUCCCAGAAAGCCGAUCGUAGUCCGGAUUGCAGGCUGCAACUCGCCUGCAUGAAGUCGGAAUCGCUAGUAAUCGUGGAUCAGCAUGUCACGGUGAAUACGUUCCCGGGUCUUGUACAUACCGCCCGUCACACCAUGGGAGCGGGUUCCGCCAGAAGUAGGUAGCCUAACCGCAAGGAGGGCGCUUACCACGGCGGGGUUCGUGACUGGGGUGAAGUCGGAACAAGGUAGCCGUAGGGGAACCUGCGGCUG